UACGUAGGGGGCAAGCGUUAUCCGGAUUUACUGGGUUUAAAGGGUGUGUAGGCGGACUUUUAAGUCAGCGGUGAAAUCUCCGGGCUCAACCCGGAAACUGCCAUGGAUACUAUUUGUCUUGAAUAUUGUGGAGGCAAGCGGAAUAUGUCAUGUAGCGGUGAAAUGCUUAGAUAUGACAUAGAACACCCAUUGCGAAGGCAGCUUGCUACACAAUGAUUGACGCUGAGGCACGAAAGCGUGGGGAUCAAACAGG
rnacentral:rRNA from 1 species